UACAUGGGGUGCAAACGUUGCUCGGAAUUAUUGGGCGUAAAGCGCACGUAGGUGGUCUGUUAUGUCAGAUGUGAAAGCCCUCGGCUUAACUGAGGAAGUGCACCUGAAACUGGCAGGCUUGAGUACGAAAGAGGGUCGCGGAAUUCCCGGUGUAGAGGUGAAAUUCGUAGAUAUCGGGAGGAACACCGGUGGCGAAGGCGGCGACCUGGUUCGACACCGACGUUCAGGCACGAAAGCGUGGGGAGCAAACAGG
rnacentral:rRNA from 1 species